ACCACAACGACACCUCAACUAAGUUAUAAAAAGUACAUCUAAUGCACUGGAAUAGUCUUUAAAGGACAGGGUGAACCUUUCUCCGAAUGACUGGGGUGACCAUAUAGUUUUAUCAUCCAAGCCUGGAAAUUUGUGCAAGUCAAAGUGAGUGCUAAAAAUAAUUAACGGGUGUUAUCUCAUCUACAACAGGGUGUGUGAGCUGGCAGUGCCCUGCACAAAACAGCGCUUACGGCUUUGGGAACAACAAAUACCCAAUCUAUCCCUCGGUGUGAUUAGAUACUUGUUACAUAAAGCAAACCGCAACGUUCCCUCCUCCGAAGACAGCCAGAGCUGGCAACGGCCAGCUGGAAAGCAGUCACGGAAAUGGUGCUGGUCUUCAGUGUCGCGCAGGACAGAUGCCAAGGCUCCCGCCUCAAGGGCACGGUUAUCCUCACACGGUCAUUUCAGGGCAAUCAUUAGGAUGACACUAGGAGCAAAGCCUGCUGGAUCAAUCCCCAUCCCAGCAAGCCGUGCGGUGUGGAAACAUGACCAGGCAGAGGUGCACCACGAUACUUCGGGGAAGCCAGGCACGUGACACGCUCACCAGAGAUUCUGGGGAAUCAGGACACAGUACAGCCCCAACCAUGAUCCAUCUGAAAUGAGGUAGACAGAAGCCGAGGAAGCUAUAAACCAGAACCAAGCCCGAAUCAAAUAGAUCAGGCAACAAAAAGGACACAAGACAGAGUGAAGGCUGCCCGCUCAAGGAGAACUGCACCCUCUCUCGGGCAGGGGGCUCAGCACAGGGGCUGCUCUGCAAGGGAGACCACACUCAUUUUCCCAAACGUCCCUCCUGCGGCCUACGAUGCUUGUUCUAGCCGUACCAUCUGCACGAACACCUGAACGCAUUCUGAGCCCCCAGUGCUACAGAGCGAGGAAAUAGAGUUUACAUGAUCAACUUUGCCACAUCUACAGAUGAAAUGUCUCCACCUACACAAGUGAUCGUUAUAGACCCAUGAUGUGGAAGGGCUUACGAUGAAAAUGUAAAGUUACACACACGCUGCUCUGCGUGUAACAUGGGAACAGCAGCAUACGCCCCCGGCAAAAGCCUGAGGGACUCGGAGAAAGAGAAGAGCUGCUGAACUGUGACCUUUCCUCCCCUCACUUUAAAUCUCCUCUAGAACCAUUAUUAUGAUGUAAGCACUCUGCACAAUAAGGGGGUAAGCUGCCUGCACGGGUUCCGGUCCCGGGACGCUCCUGGGGCCCGCCCCCCAGCCCACUCACUCGCCCCUUCUCGGUGGCCAGUCCAGCCCCCGGGCCCACAGAGAUCUGCCCCACGCUCGCACUGUGUUCUGCCCCUUCUGCUGUUACACCUGUCACGGGACACUAUAAUCACUUCUUUUCACGUCUAACAGGCUGUGAGAAGUCCCUGAGUGCAGGGGACAUGUUUAUCCAUGUCCGUCUGCCCUCAGGCACUGGGCAGAGAGAGUACCUCCACGCUGGAUGCUUGAAAGAAGGAAAAACAAGUCUGUCCAAAACCUGCGUCUUUUCCAAUUGGUUUCUGUUUGUUUUCAGAAAUCAGAAUGCCAAGGUACAGCCGGAGUGUUGUCAAAUUGUUGCUGGGCUCUCCAGGGGUAGAUAAGAAGUUUUCACACUGUCAAACUUAAGGGACACACACACACACACACACACACACACACACACACACACACAGAAAAAGGAGCCGGGCCUAACCCAUAGCUGCUCAUCAGAAUCCAAAGACGCACAGCUCCCAGCAAGCUCUCGGCCCAGUGCGAAGGGCAUUUGUAAGAGGGUAACAGCAACCCACAGCAUAGUCCACUGCGGCGAACGAACCAUUCAAUAUCCUCUCUGAAGAGAAAGAAGCAACAAAGCCUCCUUCCUGGCUCACGCUCGCCGGCACAGAGCCCAUGUGCGUCCUGCACGGGGAACAGCAAGCUUCAAAGAGAACCCCCGGCCUCAAGUCAAGACCUAAGAAAGUGUGACCAAGUGCACAGAUUACUAAGGAGCCUGUGCGCACCUGGCAUCACAAGAGUGUGAGUCCCAAACGUGGCUGCACUGCAAAAUCAUGGAAAGCACCGAAAAGUCACCCGCUUACAAAUCGGCAUCAGAAUCUCUGGGGAUGGUGCCAAUAUUUUUUUCCCAAAGGGUGCUCAGGCACAGCCAAGUUUGGGAACCGCUGCCCUGAGUAAGCAGAAGGUGGCAACAUGUUACCUUCUGACCACGGCAUGAACAGGAAGACCUCCCAGAAGAGACAGUUGUCACCCUACCUUUGAGGAAUGGACAGGUCUGUAGAGGGAACUUCAGCAAAGGGCCCCCAUACUGAGGAGCCCCACCAAGACCAGGGUGACCUGUGCACAGGGGUACUGGUUCCCUACAAAAAGCAGGUCGGCUGGAGCAGGUCCGUGGCGAGGCGAGAGGCUGGGACAGCUGGGGAGCGCCACGUCCCAUGGACUGGAGGAGGCAUAUUCCAGUCAAACUUGUCUUUCCUCUUCAAGGUCCAACUCAAGUGAGGUUGCUGCCAGGACCCCAGGGAUAAGAGUACUGCUUUUAGGGCCAGUGAAGACUAGAAUAAUCCACAGUGAUUUUAAUUAGAAGUUAUUAUUCAGCAAACAGAGAAAGUAUGAAACAUUUCACUUAAGAAAUAGGCUGGAACCUAAAGCUGGCAAAUUCCCUUCUCCUAUUCACGCCACUUUUUUGGCCUUGUGAGGGGCGGCCCCACCUGAAGGUGAGAAGGCAGAAGACACCGUGAGCUCUACUCCCCAUCUUCUGGAAGCUCCCGCUGCCGCCACGCCACCAAGGAAGAAUCUGAAGGCAAUCUCUACGUCUCCAGCCUCACCCCAGCCUCACACUGUUCUUAAAGAACAGGACGACAAGCAGACCCCCUCUAGUUACAUGAGCCUCGUUUGUGACACCUCCUCCAUCCAGCCUGUCUAAAAUCUCUCCCCUCCCCACAUACCCUCCCCCAUCUCCCUUGGCAGUCUCUUGUCCUAUGGGCCCUCAUUUCUUAACGUUAUAGCUCUCUGGCCAUCCGGGGGAGAAAUAAAAAUGGAGCCUUUUGUACUGUGGAGUAAAUGUACUCAUGCUUCUCAGCUACAAAAGGUUUCCAAUUGCAGCAGCUUUCACGGACUGAUUGUAGCAGGCAGGCAAUUUAGUAGACAUUGUGCAAUUGGGGAAUUACUCCAGGAAUAGCUGGAAAACCAAAUGAGAUGUCCCAGGAAACGUAGCAGCUUCUGGACAAAUGCAUUCGUCCUGCACUUGCUCCUGGCGCACGUGUGCCAAGCACUGGCCAAGUCCACGGCCGGGCCCUGCCUUUCGGGAGGGCCGACUUCAGACAGACCCACACAGGGACUCGGGCAGUUGGCUGCAUGGUAAGCACCAGGUUCGGGGUGCGGACGAGAAAUACUGCAGGGGUGACUGAGGGGGAAGAUCAUCAAGUAUGAAUUUUAAGCCAAGAAAAUACUUCUAUUGCUCACAGCUCCGGAACUGCCGGACUCUCUACGGAAGCAUGACUGGCGGGAAGCGGGCCGUGAACUCGCCCCGUGUAUCUCCAUGUUCCAUACGUCAUCACGGAUCACUCAUGGGAUGAGCUUGCCUAUCUACACAUGUUUCUGGGUAACCUCAGUAUUAAUCUUUCUCUUGUCCCCUCUCAGUACAUCCUCAGGUGAAAAGGCAGUUUUUAAAGCACUAACGAAAUCAAAAAUAAAUGUGAGAGAAUUGGUGCCUCGUCCCUGAAGGCUGGGAAUCGUCCAUGACUACCUGACAGAGAUGUGGUUCCAGAGGUUUCUCCAACACAGACUGCCUCCACAUCUGCAAGUCCAGCGUGGGCACUCUGAACACAUUUCCCAUAGAGACAACAUACAAAUCAGGGUUCACUGCCGGAGCAGGCUGACAGAGCUCCGUAUUAACUCACGUGGUACCAAAAGCAUAGUGCCAUCCUAUUGUUUCCAUAUUUUUACCGAGAUAUAAUUCCCACAGAGUUCACCCUUUUAAAGUGUACAACUUAGUGGCUUUUAGCAUACUCCCAAAGUUGGGCAACUAUCACCUGUAUCUAAUUUUAGAACAUUUUGUCACCCCCUGAAAAAAGCCUGUACCUCCAGCAACCAUUCCUCCCUCCUCCACAGGCCCCCGCCCCACCACUCAGCUACUUUCUGUCUCUACAGAUUUGCCUACUGUGGCAUUUCAUAUAAAUGGAAUCAUCAAAUA